rnacentral:lncRNA from 1 species
GAUUAUCAUCCUCUGGGAUCGACUAAAGAGUUGCUAGUGGUGUAUGUUCAAGAAUGAGUUUUUGAACUAAAUCCUAAUAUCAACGACUUGUAUUUUAUAGAUUCAAUUUUAAAAGCAAUGUAAGAAAAUUAACUGGGGAAAAGUCAUAUAUCUAAACGUCUAGAAUAUUGACAAUCCAAUUUUGGAAUUAAAAUUAGAGAGAACAUGGGUUCCUUUUAGUGAUCUUAGGGUUUGAGGAUUAAGGUCAUCCAUGAUCAAAUUGAGUUCUAUAACACAUUUUUGCAUUCGAAACCUAAUAAUUCCUUCUAACUCCGGUCCCCAAAUACCAUCAAGAUAAUGAUUCAAAUUAGGGUUUUGAGUUGAAUCAUUAAGGUUUCACUUAUCUUGUGGAUUUCACUUUAGUGUAGAUAAUGAUAAGUUAAAUAGAAUUAACUAGUGAUUAAUGGUUUCCAAGCAUCACUAGUGCCCAAAUAAAUGGCUACCAUAUCCUCCCCCAAACUACAUAGAAAGUCUCUUUCUUAUUGGAUCUAACAUAAAACCCAGCUAGAUCUUUUUAGUUUUGCCAAUUCCAUUGUUCCUCAUGUUGUUGCUACACUUUUAUGCUUCAAUUCCAG